rnacentral:rRNA from 1 species
GCGAUCUGACGAAAAAUUAACUGUCCCCUUUUAUUAUAAGUAAAAUUAACUUGAGAGUAAAAAGGCUCUCAUCCUCUAAAGGGACGAUAAGACCCUAUAAAGCUUAACCUAAAUAUCUCAAAUUCAUUAAGUAAAAAUUGACACUCGUGGGUUUAACUGGGGCGGUUAGUAAUAAAACAUUACUUGAAAUAACGUUUUAGACGAAAAAUAAUAAACUUAUCUUUUAAAAUUAAGACUAAGUUACUUUAGGGAUAACAGCGUAAUAAUCCUAGAAAGAUCAUAUUGACAGGAUGUGUUACGACCUCGAUGUUGAAUUGAAUACCUCCUUUGAGCAGCAUCAAAGGGAAGAA